rnacentral:rRNA from 1 species
AUCAUAUUGGUGACUGGAGUUCAGACGUGUGCUCUUCCGAUCUGCACAGUCCGUCGCUGAGUCAUGGUAAACAGUUGAUCGACUCGACGUCCCGGAACAGUUUCCGCCCCAUCAGCUUCGAUGGUUGGGUAUUGGCCUACCAUUGCAACAACGGGUAACGAGGAAUUAGGGUUUGAUUUCGGAGAGGGAGCCUGAGAAACGGCUACCACAUCUACGGAUGGCAGCAGGCGCGCAAAUUACCCAAUGCAGACUCUGUGAGGUAGUGACGAGAAAUAAUAAAGCGGGACUUCUGUUUCGCUAUUAUAAUGAGGAAUAACCAAAGGUCAUUCCGAUUAGCAACUGAUGGGAAAGUCUGGUGCCAGCAGCCGCGGUAAUACCAGCGUCAGUAGCAUAUAUUAAAAUUGUUGCAGUUAAAACGUCCGUAGUCUGUACGUCGUCCCAAACUCACUGCAGUCUUCCGUUUUCUUAAUUGAAUGCGGUAGUUUCUGCAGUCACUCCCUUGAUCAAAUUAGGUUGUUCAAGGUAGACCAAGUCUUCAUAUUUUCACAUGGAAUUGGGUGAGGGAACUUAAGAGUUUAAGUUUCUCGUCUUAGGAUCAUCCGGGGUCAUUCGUACUCGUCCGCGAGAGGUGAAAUUCUUGGACCGGACGAAGACGACCAGCAGCGAAAGCAUCUGUCAGGGAUGUUUUCUGCGACAAAGGACGAAGGUCAGGGUAUCGAAGACGAUUAGAUACCGUCGUAGUCCUGACUGUAAACUAUGCCAACUUGGGUCUUGCUGGGCGAUGCUUUGUGAGACCCACACAGAAAUGAAAGUGUAUGGGUUCUGGGGGUAGUAUGGACACAAGUCUGAAACUUGAAGGAAUUGACGGAAGAGCACCAUAAGACGUGGAGCUUGCGGCUUAAUUUGACUCAACGCGGGAAAACUUACCAGGUCAAGACAUGGGCGUGAUUGACAGGCUAAUGACUUUUCUCGAUUCCAUGGAUGGUGGUGCAUGGUCGCACUUAGUUGGUGCAGUGAUUUGUCAGGUUUAUUCCGGUAACGAACGAGACCUCGGCCUUGUAAAUAGCUAUGCUGCUUACAGGGACAUUGGUGGCUACACCAAGGAAGCUCGAGGCAAUUGCAGAUCUGGAAUGCCCUUAGAUGUCCUGGGUCGCAGAUCGGAAGAGCGUCGUGUAGGGAAAGAGUGUAGAUCUCGGUGG